AGAAUAUAAUCAGCAUAAAUAAAAUAAUAACUGCACUCAUUAUUUAAUUAAAAAUUAAAUAACUCAUCCCAUGGAAUGUCUCCAAAGGGACAAAUUGGUAAGUAAACAACAAACUUUGUUUAAAAAGGAAAUUAGCCUGUGAUUUGAGAUCAAUAAAAAAGAAAAGUAGGCCCACUUUUCCGACCGAGGGAACUUUCAUUAAAGAACAAGUGAAAGAAUCUACGAGAACGAUAUAAAUGGAUAGCUAGAUGAAUAUAAAAAUGAUUUUGUCAAAGAAGCGGUUCACAUUUAGUGGUUCAUCAAAUCAUUUAAUA
rnacentral:misc_RNA from 1 species